rnacentral:rRNA from 1 species
AGAGUUUGAUCAUGGCUCAGAUUGAACGCUGGCGGCAGGCCUAACACAUGCAAGUCGAGCGGUAGCACAGAGAGCUUGCUCUCAGGUGACGAGCGGCGGACGGGUGAGUAAUGUCUGGGAAACUGCCUGAUGGAGGGGGAUAACUACUGGAAACGGUAGCUAAUACCGCAUAACGUCGCAAGACCAAAGUGGGGGACCUUCGGGCCUCAUGCCAUCAGAUGUGCCCAGAUGGGAUUAGCUGGUAGGUGGGGUAACGGCUCACCUAGGCGACGAUCCCUAGCUGGUCUGAGAGGAUGACCAGCCACACUGGAACUGAGACACGGUCCAGACUCCUACGGGAGGCAGCAGUGGGGAAUAUUGCACAAUGGGCGCAAGCCUGAUGCAGCCAUGCCGCGUGUGUGAAGAAGGCCUUCGGGUUGUAAAGCACUUUCAGCGGGGAGGAAGGCGGUGAGGUUAAUAACCUCACCGAUUGACGUUACCCGCAGAAGAAGCACCGGCUAACUCCGUGCCAGCAGCCGCGGUAAUACGGAGGGUGCAAGCGUUAAUCGGAAUUACUGGGCGUAAAGCGCACGCAGGCGGUCUGUCAAGUCGGAUGUGAAAUCCCCGGGCUCAACCUGGGAACUGCAUUCGAAACUGGCAGGCUAGAGUCUUGUAGAGGGGGGUAGAAUUCCAGGUGUAGCGGUGAAAUGCGUAGAGAUCUGGAGGAAUACCGGUGGCGAAGGCGGCCCCCUGGACAAAGACUGACGCUCAGGUGCGAAAGCGUGGGGAGCAAACAGGAUUAGAUACCCUGGUAGUCCACGCUGUAAACGAUGUCGAUUUGGAGGUUGUGCCCUUGAGGCGUGGCUUCCGGAGCUAACGCGUUAAAUCGACCGCCUGGGGAGUACGGCCGCAAGGUUAAAACUCAAAUGAAUUGACGGGGGCCCGCACAAGCGGUGGAGCAUGUGGUUUAAUUCGAUGCAACGCGAAGAACCUUACCUGGUCUUGACAUCCACAGAACUUAGCAGAGAUGCUUUGGUGCCUUCGGGAACUGUGAGACAGGUGCUGCAUGGCUGUCGUCAGCUCGUGUUGUGAAAUGUUGGGUUAAGUCCCGCAACGAGCGCAACCCUUAUCCUUUGUUGCCAGCGGUCCGGCCGGGAACUCAAAGGAGACUGCCAGUGAUAAACUGGAGGAAGGUGGGGAUGACGUCAAGUCAUCAUGGCCCUUACGACCAGGGCUACACACGUGCUACAAUGGCAUAUACAAAGAGAAGCGACCUCGCGAGAGCAAGCGGACCUCAUAAAGUAUGUCGUAGUCCGGAUUGGAGUCUGCAACUCGACUCCAUGAAGUCGGAAUCGCUAGUAAUCGUAGAUCAGAAUGCUACGGUGAAUACGUUCCCGGGCCUUGUACACACCGCCCGUCACACCAUGGGAGUGGGUUGCAAAAGAAGUAGGUAGCUUAACCUUCGGGAGGGCGCUUACCACUUUGUGAUUCAUGACUGGGGUGAAGUCGUAACAAGGUAACCGUAGGGGAACCUGCGGUUGGAUCACCU